GGGGGAAUAGCAUAGUUGGCUAGAGUGCUUGUUUGUCACGCCAGAAGUCACGGGUUCAAUCCCCGUUUCCCCACA